GUGUCAGCCGCCGCGGUAAUACGUAGGGUCCAAGCGUUGUCCGGAUUUAUUGGGCGUAAAGAGCUCGUAGGCGGCUCGGUAAGUCGGAUGUGAAACCUCCAGGCUCAACCUGGAGUCGCCAUCCGAUACUGCUGUGGCUUGAGUCCGGUAGGGGAGCAUGGAAUUCCUGGUGUAGCGGUGAAAUGCGCAGAUAUCAGGAGGAACACCAGUGGCGAAGGCGGUGCUCUGGGCCGGUACUGACGCUGAGGAGCGAAAGCGUGGGGAGCAAACAGGAUUAGAUACCCCCGUAGUCC
rnacentral:rRNA from 1 species